rnacentral:rRNA from 1 species
AUUGAACGCUGGCGGCAGGCCUAACACAUGCAAGUCGAGCGGAUGAGGGAAGCUUGCUUCCCGAUUUAGCGGCGGACGGGUGAGUAAUGCCUAGGAAUCUGCCUGGUAGUGGGGGACAACGUUUCGAAAGGAACGCUAAUGCCGCAUACGACCUACGGGAGAAAGCAGGGGACCUUCGGGCCUUGCGCUAUCAGAUGAGCCUAGGUCGGAUUAGCUUGUUGGUGAGGUAAUGGCUCACCAAGGCGACGAUCCGUAACUGGUCUGAGAGGAUGAUCAGUCACACUGGAACUGAGACACGGUCCAGACUCCUACGGGAGGCAGCAGUGGGGAAUAUUGGACAAUGGGCGAAAGCCUGAUCCAGCCAUGCCGCGUGUGUGAAGAAGGUCUUCGGAUUGUAAAGCACUUUAAGUUGGGAGGAAGGGUUGUAGAUUAAUACUCUGCAAUUUUGACGUUACCGACAGAAUAAGCACCGGCUAACUCUGUGCCAGCAGCCGCAGUAACAC